rnacentral:rRNA from 1 species
GAAGUAAAAGUCGUAACAAGGUUUCCGUAGGUGAACCUGCGGAAGGAUCAUUCACAAACGAGUGUUUUAUGGCACUCUUUAAAAAUCCAUAUCCACCUUGUGUGCAAUGUUUGUUGGGAAAGUCUUUUCUUUCCCUUCAUAAAUAUCAACCUAUAUCUUUAACAACAUUCGUCUGAUAACAUAUUAUGAAUAUACUUGAUUCAAAAUAUAACUUUCAACAACGGAUCCCUUGGCUCUCGCAUCGAUGAAGAACGCAGCGAAAUGCGAUACGUAAUGUGAAUUGCAGAAUUCAGUGAAUCAUCGAAUCUUUGAACGCAUAUUGCGCUCUUUGGUAUUCCGAAGAGCAUGCUUGUUUGAGUAUCAGUAAACACCUCAACCUCUCUUUUUGACAAAAAAAGGAGGGUGGACUUGAGCUAUCCCAACGACCUUCACCGGUAGGCGGGCGGCUUGAAAUGCAGGUGCAGCUGGACUUUUAUCUGAGCUAAAAGCAUAUCUAUUUAGUCCUCGUCAAACAGGAUUAUCACUUUUGCUGCAGCUAACAUAAAGGAUAAUUGUCCUCUUUGCUGACUGACGCAGGAUUUUACGACACUUUAUGUGUUGUUCAACUCGAUCUCAAAUCAAGUAAGACUACCCGCUGAACUUAAGCAU